rnacentral:rRNA from 1 species
AUGGGGAACAUGCUCACCGUCAUGCUUGGAACAACUGCAGUUGUGGAUCGUUGCCAUCCAAGGCAACUCCACCCACGAGCCACCAGCAGCAGCAGGAUAGCAGGCCAUCAGUUUGAACCGCUGAGCAUUCUGGCUUUCAGGGCUAUGUCUGAGCACAUAGGACGUAGUGAAGCGUUCUGUCGAAAGCAGAUAUCGAAUGGCCGGUUUCAACUGCUGACCAUUCUGGUUUGCGGAGCAAUCCGUGCCGAGGGAAUUACAGCAAACGAUCCGUUCAAACUGUGUGGCAUUCUCAUCUGUGGAGUUUUGUCUGACUACAUCGCUCAUGGCGCAGAGGAACCAGCGGUUGAUCUGCUUGGAGACCUUCCAGAGUUCAGAAUGGGGAACAUCCUCAACUUCACAACUACAGUGGCCGAUCAUUGCCAUCCAAGGCAACUCCGCAUAGGCAGCGGAACAGUAAGCCGUCAGCUCGAACCGUUGAGCAUUCUGGCUUUCAGAGCUUUAUGCAAGCACAUUCAACGGCAUGAAGCAUUCCAUCGAAAGCGGAUAGCCAACGGCCAGUUUCAACUGCUGAGCAUUCUGCUUUGCGGAGUAAUCCAUGCCAAGGGAAUAAUAGGGAACGAUCGAUGUAAACUGUGCUGCAUUCUCAUCUGUGGAGUUAUAUCUGACUACAUCCAUCACGGGCCAAUUGAUGCCAAUGAAUCAGCGAUUGAUCUGUUUGGAGACCUUCCAGAGGCACUGCACCAAAAUCUCGGCGUGCUGUGCACAAUUUUUUCAAAGUUGUCUCUGAAAGAGGCUGUAAGAACCAGUGCCGUAUCAAGGAAAUGGAGAUACUUGUGGACAGUUUGUCCUAAACUGAGUUUUGACGGAAGUACAAUAUGUGGCAACAACAGAUAUGGGAAACAAGUAUAUGCUCUAGCGUUCAUUCGCAUUGUUAAUAGGGUCUUGGCACAGUGCCGUGGCAAGUUGUUUGAAGAGCUUGCGAUCAAAAUUGAUUUGAACAGGAUGUUUGUUGAACACCUCAAUAAUUGGGUUCGUUUUGCUGUAUCAUCAAGUGCAAAGGCAUUAGUUUUUGAUUUAGCACCACAAGAGCAUCAACUUCCAGGUCGUGAUGGUCAGUACAAAUUCCCAUUUAAGCUUUUAGACAAGGACAGUGUACACCGUCUACAGAAAAUUCAUCUUAGCUUUGUAGAUUUCCAGCCACCAAUGCAGUUUAAUGGCUUCCCUAACCUACGGAAGCUUGACUUAAACUUAGUGAAUGUCAAUGGGAAGGAUAUUCCACAUAUGUUGUCAAACUGCUGUAAUCUAGAGUGGCUGAGUAUGGUUAGAUGCCAUCUCAAUGGUGAACUAAAGGUUAAUGGCCCGCUGCCUCAUCUACUGCACUUGAAACUUGUGUACUGCGAUGUAACAAGUAUAGCAUUCGAUACGGUGAAUCUUGCAACUUUUAUAUACAAAGGAAGGAAGGUGCCUAUUGACCUCAAUAAAUCAUUAGAACUGGUAUGUGCAGAUAUAUGGUUUUCUACAGUCACUUUUGAGCGCGCCAUUACUUUACUUGGUAAAGUGCUUAAAAAUGUGCAACAUCUAACCCUCGACAUGGACUGUAAACCACCAGAGAUUCCCCGUUUGAUGCAUUACCGAUGCAUGUUUUCUAGAAUGACAUAUUUGCAAUUGAGGUUGGUCUAUGUCGAAGGAUUGGAUGUCUUAUCCUUGGUCUCUUUUCUGAGGUCUGCUCCUUUCAUUGAGAAGUUAGAGCUGCACUUUUGUUUCCCUGGUUAUAUCCAUUUGGUACAAGAACCUGAAUCUAUCAGGAAGCUACCGGAGUGUCUGUUCAACAACUUGAAGAGUUUGCAUGUUACAGGAUUUAAAGCAUGCACUGGCCAAGUUGAGUUCCUUAUGCAUAUGGUGGAAAAUGCCCCUGCAUUGGAAGGUUUAACUAUAGAUCAAUCAGAAAAAUAUCUCCUAGAAGGUCAUAAAAAGGAUGCGAAAACGGUUAUUGACCUGGUCCAUAGAACUGCUAAAAAGUAUCUUGAAGGGAAGAUUUCGCCCAGGUGCAUCUUAAUGUUACUUUAA